UACGUAGGUGGCAAGCGUUGUCCGUAUUUACUGGGCGUAAAGAGCGCGCAGGCGGUCGUUCAAGUCGCGUGUGAAAGCCCCCGGCUCAACUGGGGAGGGUCACGCGAUACUGAUCGACUCGAAGGCAGGAGAGGGUAGUGGAAUUCCCGGUGUAGUGGUGAAAUGCGUAGAUAUCGGGAGGAACACCAGUGGCGAAGGCGACUACCUGGCCUGUUCUUGACGCUGAGGCGCGAAAGCUAGGGGAGCAAACGGG
rnacentral:rRNA from 1 species